CCUACAUACAGACUACUAAGUUAACCAUAACCAUUCGUGUAUUGAUACGUAUGUUCAAACAGCAAUGAUGAACUGAGUGCCUGCUCUGAAGGAACUCAAAUUCAGAUUCAGCUAAUAUUUCUGGAGUAACACCCAUGCACUAGGUAUUGAGCUAAAGACUUUGUCUUAUUUAGGUGCCUAUCAUGUGCUAGGUGUUGAACUAGUUACUUUAACACAUUAUCUCAUUUGGUCUUCAUAACAACCUAGUAGGUCGGCAUUUUUUAUUUUAUAGAUAGGAGACUAACACUCAGAAAAGGUGAGUGACUUGCCUGAAGUCAUAAAAUUAGUCAAGACUUAAAACUGGCUUUUUGGUCCUGAGUCUUCUCUCUGGCUCUUUCUAAUUGGUAGUAUUGUCUGUCUUAGGUCCACGCUUUUACUAUCCUCUUCUAUGCAAAAGAAUAUCUGAUCAGAAAGAAACAAAGCCACUUAUAGUUUGAUUAGAAAGAAAUAAAACCGCACAGAAUUUUAGCCACCUUUGUCUAUGGGCUGAUAGCUUUGUGCACACAAGGCCAAGCAACCACAGGCUCCAGAGAUGUGAUGUGGAGAUGUGCCAAGUGGCAGGUGACAUCACAUCUUUACAUUCCUAGAAGUACUGUGCCCUAAUAAUUUUACAGCAGAGACAUAAACAGAUGGAUGUGACAAAUCCAGUAAUGGCAGUUACAUAAUCUCAAGAUCUUUCUCAAUGACUCUAAGAACAUGUCCAAGACCAAGAAUGACUUACCAGGUACAUGCCAGUGCUUUAACUAAACAGAAACUAUUUUUCAACUAAACAAACAUAAAUUACAUUAUCCCUCCUUUUUGGCUCUACCAUUUUGAAAUUUCUAACUUUGUGAGGUUUUUAACUUAAAAAUGUUUUUCCAAAUUUAUGGAAAGAGGCCACAUAUGCCCACGUUUAGGGAAAAGUAUGGACUUCAGAGUUACAAGCUCAGGUUUGGACAAGGCCAGGCAAGGUUGGACUGAAUCCUGCCUCUAUCGUUUUCUCACUACAUUUGCAGUGAGUCACUAAAUUUUUUUAAGUCUCUGCUUCCUCAUCUGUAAAAUGGGUAUAGCAACGAUAUCUACCUGUGCAGAAAAGAGUUAACUCAGCAGGGCUGAAUUGUUCAAACCUUGCACAUUCCCAAGAAAGGCCUGUUUUCAUGACUGCUCUUUGACCAGCUUCUGGGAAUUAAACUGUUAGAAUGUUCCAAGAACUAAGAGUAUUUUUCUCACAUGGGUUCUUGAGCCAUACUAUACCAGUUUGUCUGCAUACGUGUGCAACGUGGUUUAUGCUUGCUUCUGGGAGCCUGGAGCUUCAAUGGCACAAGUCAUGUGCCUAUGUGAAUGAUCCCCAACAAAAACCCUAGACUCGCUCAAUCAUGGCAGAUGGGAGGUAGGACUAGAUUGCAACUCCAGACAGAGCAGUGUGCAAGGUCUUGCAUUGUGAAUUUUAGCUCCAGAUCAACUGCAAGAACAAACCAGCAAUCCUGAGAGGACCCACAGACCCUCUGAAGGAAGCAGACAGCUCCUACAGGACCUGGGAGACCCCCCAAAACUGUGAGUGCCCCAACCUUGGAAGCAGAAAAUGGAGACCCUCCUUUCCUGAACUCACACUCCCACUGGAGAAGCUGAAGAGGUUUUCCUGAAACCAAGCACCAUACAAGCACAAAACGUAUUUUGUAAAUGUUCAAUGAACAUAUACAAGAAAGAUUCUUCGUUGAAAGGAUUUAUGGGGACCUCAGGUGUACUGUGGAGAAUUCUGAAUGGCUGGACUCCCAUGGAUGCUGGAAGGAGAAGCAGCAGCUGCCCUCACCACCCCAGACCUGAGUGUGGAAACCUCAGGCUCACAUCCCCCUCCCCCAGCUCUCCAUAUAGAAAAAAAGUAACCAAAUUUAGGUCACUAUGUCCCCAAAAAUGAUACUGUUCAUCCUUUUCCCCAAUAUUUGUCUUUAAUUAGUGAAUAAAUGAACUAUCUGAGCUUCAUCGUUGGAAACAAGAUAUACUGAGUGUGAUGGUUAAUAUGGCGUGUCAACUUGAUUGGACCUUAUUAUUGUCUUUAUUUGAAGAUAAUGCAUGAUCUCAGCACAUGUGUAUAGGCUCAAGUUGACAAGGGGUGGACUUGCGAUGGUUAAUACUGAGUGUCAACUUGUUUGGAUUGAAGGAUACAAAGGAUUGAUCCUGGAUGUAUCUCUGAGAGUGUUGCUAAAGGAGAUUAAAAUUUGAGUCACUGGGCUGGGAAAGGUAGACCCACCCUUAAUCUGGGUGGGCACAAUCUACUCAGCUCCCAGCGUGCCUAGAAAAGAAGCAGGCAGAAAAAUAAAAGGAGAGACUGGCCUAGCCUCCCAGCCUACAUCUUUCUCCCCUGCUGGAUGCUUCCUGUCCUGGAACACUGGACUCCACGUUCUUCAGUUUUGGAACUCAGACUUGGCUCUCCUUGCCCCUCAGCCUACAGACAGCCUAUGAAGGGACCUUGUGAUUGUUGUGUAAAUGGAACCUCCAAAUAAGAUUAAAUUGAAGAGAAAGCAUUAAAGGGCAGUAUUCCAGUGGAAUCCAUGAACAGUUUGGGCUGCCACACUCAUCUAGGGGCUGCAUCUACUAA
rnacentral:lncRNA from 1 species